rnacentral:tRNA from 1 species
CCUUCGAUAGCUCAGUUGGUAGAGUGGAGGACUGUAGAGGGUACGAUAGGCAUCCUUAGGUCGCUGGUUCAAAUCUGGCGCGAAGGA